AUAAUUAUGUUUGUGGCAGUAUCGUAGCCAAUGAGGUUAAUCCGAGGCGCGAUUAUUGCUAGUUGAAAACUUUUCCUUUUGUUUAAUUCAAGUCAUUUCUGGGGUAUAAAUCU
rnacentral:snRNA from 1 species